rnacentral:rRNA from 1 species
UACGUAGGGUGCAAGCGUUGUCCGGAAUUAUUGGGCGUAAAGGGCUCGUAGGCGGUCCAUCGCGUCGGGAGUGAAAAGCUGGGGCUCAACCCCAGUCCUGCUUCCGAUACGGGUGGACUAGAGGUAGGCAGGGGAGAACGGAAUUCCUGGUGUAGCGGUGAAAUGCGCAGAUAUCAGGAGGAACACCGAUGGCGAAGGCAGGUCUCUGGGCCACUACUGACGCUGAGAAGCGAAAGCAUGGGGAGCGAACAGG